rnacentral:rRNA from 1 species
AGAGUUUGAUCCUGGCUCAGAACGAACGUUGGCGGCGUGGAUUAGGCAUGCAAGUCGAACGAAUCCCGGCCCCUCACCCUUGCCCUCAGGGAGAGGGUGGGGUGAGGGGCCGGGGGAAGUGGCGAAAGGGGCAGUAAUGCGUGGGUAACCUACCCCGGGGACUGGGAUAGCCUUCCUAACGGAUGGGUAAUACCGGGCGAUGUGGCUGAGACUCCUGUCUUGGCCAUGAGAUGGGUUUCCGCCUCGGGACGGGCUCACGUGGUAUUAGCUAGUUGGUAGGGUAAUGGCCUACCAAGGCCGAGAUGCCUAGCUGGUGUGAGAGCACGACCAGCGCCACUGGCACUGAGACACUGGCCAGACACCUACGGGUGGCUGCAGUCGAGGAUUUUCGGCAAUGGGCGCAAGCCUGACCGAGCGACGCCGCGUGCGCGAUGAAGGCCUUCGGGUUGUAAAGCGCUGUCGGGGGGGAGAAAGGCCGCAAGGCUUGAUCUAUCCCCGGAGGAAGCACGGGCUAAGUUCGUGCCAGCAGCCGCGGUAAGACGAACCGUGCGAACGUUGUUCGGAAUCACUGGGCUUAAAGGGCGCGUAGGCGGUUUGCCAAGUCAGGGGUGAAAUCUUUCGGCUCAACCGGAAAAGUGCUCCUGAUACUGGCGAUCUCGAGGGAGGUAGGGGCAUGUGGAACUUCUGGUGGAGCGGUGAAAUGCGUUGAUAUCAGAAGGAACGCCGGUGGCGAAAGCGACGUGCUGGACCUCUUCUGACGCUGAGGCGCGAAAGCUAGGGGAGCAAACGGGAUUAGAUACCCUGGUAGUCCAA